rnacentral:rRNA from 1 species
UACCGGCGGCUCGAGUGGUGGCCGCUUUUACUGGGCUUAAAGGGUCCGUAGCUGGAUCUGUGUGUCCCUUGAGAAAUCCAUCGGCUUAACUGAUGGGCGUUCAGGGGAAACUGCAGUUCUAGGGACCGGGAGAGGUGAGAGGUACUGCCGGGGUAGGAGUGAAAUCCUGUAAUCCCGGUGGGACGACCUAUGGCGAAGGCAUCUCACCAGAACGGCUCCGACAGUGAGGGACGAAAGCUGGGGGAGCAAACAGG